rnacentral:lncRNA from 1 species
UUCACAAUUGUCCUGUUAUCUCCGACUCUCCCUCAUCUCAGUAUCUCCGACUCGGCGAGUGGGCGACUCUCCUUCAACCACUUCACACAAAUACUUCAUCUCCUUCACACAAAUCAAUCAAUCUGAAAAGUAAAUAAUCAAUCUUCUCCGGCAGAUUUCGUCUCCUUCAAUUUCAGGUAUUAAUUCUAUUUUUAGGGUUUUGAAAUUAAUUGUUUUGUUUAUGAAAUUUAGAACCAUUGUUUAAUUUAA